rnacentral:rRNA from 1 species
UUGGUUAAGUUAGAAAGGGCGCACGGUGGAUGCCUUGGCACUAGGAGCCGAAGAAGGACGGGACUAACACCGAUAUGCUUUGGGGAGCUGUACGUAAGCGUUGAUCCAGAGAUUUCCGAAUGGGGGAACCCACUAUCUUUAGUCGGAUAGUAUCCUUACGUGAAUACAUAGCGUGAGGAAGGCAGACCCAGGGAACUGAAACAUCUAAGUACCUGGAGGAAGAGAAAGAAAAAUCGAUUUCCUGAGUAGCGGCGAGCGAAACGGAAAGAGCCCAAACCAAGAAGCUUGCUUCUUGGGGUUGUAGGACACUCUAUACGGAGUUACAAAAGAAAGUUAUAAAUGAAGCGGUCUGGAAAGGCCCGCCAAAGACGGUAACAGCCCGGUAGUUGAAAUAGCUUUCCCUCCAGAGUGGAUCCUGAGUACGGCGGAACACGUGAAAUUCCGUCGGAAUCCGGGAGGACCAUCUCCCAAGGCUAAAUACUCCCUAGUGACCGAUAGUGAACCAGUACCGUGAGGGAAAGGUGAAAAGCACCCCGGAAGGGGAGUGAAACAGUUCCUGAAACCGUGUGCCUACAAGUAGUUAGAGCCCGUUAAUGGGUGAUAGCGUGCCUUUUGUAGAAUGAACCGGCGAGUUACGAUUUGUUGCAAGGUUAAGCGGAAAAAGCGGAGCCGUAGCGAAAGCGAGUCUGAAUAGGGCGCAUAAGUAACAGGUCGUAGACCCGAAACCAGGUGAUCUACCCAUGUCCAGGAUGAAGGUAAGGUAAUACUUACUGGAGGUCCGAACCCACGCACGUUGAAAAGUGCGGGGAUGAGGUGUGGGUAGCGGAGAAAUUCCAAUCGAACUUGGAGAUAGCUGGUUCUCUCCGAAAUAGC